GACGAACGCUGGCGGCGUGCUUAACACAUGCAAGUCGAACGGAAAGGCCCUGCUUUUGUGGGGUGCUCGAGUGGCGAACGGGUGAGUAACACGUGAGUAACCUGCCCUUGACUUUGGGAUAACUUCAGGAAACUGGGGCUAAUACCGGAUAGGAGCUCCUGCUGCAUGGUGGGGGUUGGAAAGUUUCGGCGGUUGGGGAUGGACUCGCGGCUUAUCAGCUUGUUGGUGGGGUAGUGGCUUACCAAGGCUUUGACGGGUAGCCGGCCUGAGAGGGUGACCGGCCACAGUGGGACUGAGAAACGGCCCAGAGUCCUACGGGAGGAAGGAGUGGAGAAUAUUGCACAAUGGGCGGAAGGAGGAUGGAGCAACGCCGCGUGCGGGAUGACGGCCUUCGGGGUGUAAACCGCUUUCGCCUGUGACGAAGCGUGAGUGACGGUAAUGGGUAAGAAAGCACCGGCUAACUACGU
rnacentral:rRNA from 1 species